rnacentral:rRNA from 1 species
GGAUUAGAUACCCUAUUAUACUAGAAAUAUAACUUAUUUUGAGGAGUACAGUUUUAAAAAGCUAAACUCAAAAAUUAUGGCGGCUAUAAAAAUUAAUUAGGGGAACUUACCUAGUAAAUGAUAGCCACCAUGAGCUCUCAACAUGAGUUAAAAAGUUUGUAUGCCGUCGUCAAAAAUCUUUUUUUGAAAGAUUUAUACCCAAAAUUUUUUGAUUAUGACAGAUCAAGGUGCAACUAAUAUUCAUGAUUAACAGGCGAGUUACAAUUAAGUUUUUUAUCGGAUUAAAUUUAUAAUUAAAUUUUGUAAGUUGGACUUAAAAGUAAUAUUUAAAAUUUUCAAAUAAUAUCUGAAUACUUAUUUUUAUAGUGCACACAUCGCCCGUCGU